AUACGGAGGGUGCAAGCGUUACUCGGAAUCACUGGGCGUAAAGCGCGCGCAGGCGGCUAUUUAAGUUGGAUGUGAAAGCCUACGGCUCAACCGUAGAACUGCAUCCAAAACUAUUUAGCUAGAGUGUGCGAGAGGAAGAUGGAAUUAGUUGUGUAGGGGUAAAAUCCGUAGAGAUAACUAGGAAUACCAAAAGCGAAGGCAAUCUUCUGGAACACUACUGACGCUAAGGCGUGAAAGCGUGGGGAGCAAACAGCAUUAGAAACCCCUGUAGUCC
rnacentral:rRNA from 1 species